rnacentral:lncRNA from 1 species
AGUGUUGGACUGGAUAAUCUUGGAGUGGGUAUAACCAUCAGAGGCAUUUUCUUCUUCAAAACAACACCAAACUUCUCUGUAAGGUCUAAUAUCUCUCCUUCGGGCAACUUCCAGUCGAAAGAAUGAACGAGUGAAGCCAGUGAAUACAUGAACAUCCUCUCACCCAUGGCUAUCCCCACACAAAUUCUUCUGCCAGAACCAAAUGGAAAGUAGUUGAAAUCAUUUCCACUAUAGUCCCAUUUAUUGCCCAAAAAUCUUUCCGGAUGGAAUUCAGUUGGAUUUUCCCAGAUAGAAGGAUCUCUCUGCAUAGCCCAUACAUUUACAUAAACACGAGAUCCUUUAGGAACAGUGUAUCCUCCCACAGUGCAUGUCUCACUAGGACAAUGUCGCGAUAAGAGUGGAAGAGUUGGAUGUAAGCGCAAGACUUCUUUCAUAACUGCAUAGAGAUACGGUAAUUGUUGAAUAUGAGACUCUUCAACAAUAUUAUCUUUUCCCACAACUCUCUCUAGUUCUUGUUGUAAUUUCCUCAGGACAUAUGGUUUGUUCAUAAUUUCAGCCAUGGCAAACUCAACUGUGUUGGAGGUUGUGUCGGUUCCACCAAUAACCAUAUCCUGUUCAUAGUAUUUGUGAAGUUCAACAAUUUUUUUAUUUGCAGAACUGUCUAUGGGAGCUCAAUUCAAGGUUCACAGUUAAGUUUACACAUAUUAUCUGAUGCUAAAUUUGCCGACUCUUUCCUUUAUGCAGUCCAAUAACAAGUUAGCAACUAACAGUUCAGGACAUGAAUAUAUGAAUCUGAUAUAUCUAAUAUUUAUAACUCAUUUUCCACAAUAAUUCUUCAAUAGCAUUUGAUCCUUUUACUAUGACUAAAUUGUCACUAUAAUCUAUAACAUGUAAGGAAAUAGACUAUUUCAAGUAAAAUGCAAAACUAUGAAACCAGAACCACACCUAAGAACGUGAAUUUUCCAGGCAGAAAAAUGCAACCAACAGUCAGGACAUUAGUUUACGAAUCUGAUUCUUCUGAAAUGUAUUCCCUAUAUGCCACAAUAAUUCUUCUAUGAAUUUACAAUCCCGUUAUCUAUUUCAUUUGAUUUUGAUGCUUUUAUUAUACAACAACAACAAACCCAGUGUAUUCCCACUUUGUGGGGUCUGGGGGGGGUAAGAUGUACGCAGUCCAUCACGGACAGUGUACUGUGUAAGCUAAUAGUUAAUCCAUAUAGAUAAGGAAAAAAUGGUUGAAGACAAAUGCAAUCUUGGCUACUCAAUAAUAAUGUAGUGAUGACUAAGGAGAGGACGAUUUCUUUUUGGUUCAUUUGAAAAAUACAUAUUUAGAAGGAAACAAUCAUAGUAGCAUCCACUGAAAUUAACAGAUUUAUCGUGUCGUAGAAUGCACAACUGAUAAAACAUACCAUAAGUAAUGCUUUGAGUUCAGUCAUAGACAGAGGCAUUUUGGUAUCUGCUUCAUCUUUCAACUUCAGCAAAACUUGCAAAAAGUCCUUGCUUUCUCGGCCAACAAAAGUUCCCAUCUCACCAUUUCUAUCCAAUUCUUUUCUUUGAUCAAUCACGCUCUCAAAUAUCUUAUCAAAUCUCUUUGACAACACCUUCAUCUUCUUUGUAAGACCCUGCAAAUCAAACCAGUCCAAGCCCGGGUAAAAAUCAGAAAGAUUGGGCAUGCCAAGCAGCUCAGUCAUCUCAGUCACAACAUGCCUAAACUCAGCUCCAAGAGUAGCUCUUUCCUCAACCUUCACUGUGUCACCCCAUAUCAUGCUUGUAAUCACAUUAAGCAUUGUCAAGAACAUCUGUUCACCAACAUUCACAGGCGAUCCUGACUGAUUAUAGAAGCAAUUGAUUGAUUCUCUAAGCUCUUGUCGCCUUAGUCCACAAACAGAAUCUAAAGCAGAACCAUUAAGCAUAUCGCGAACACAAACCUUCCUCAACAUGCGCCAUUUCGGUCCGUAAGGAGUCCAAACUAUGUCUUUGCCACCAUAUGAAGAUUCUCUAGCAGCAGCAGGCAUAUCUCUGUUAGCAAAAAGGGUAUCUUGAUCCUUAAGCACCUCACGAGCUAAGGAAGGAGAAGUAAUAAUAAUCCCAAUUUUUUUUCCAAGCCAGAGUCUACAAAUGGGCCCAUAAGUUUGCGAAAGAGAUGCAAAAUAGGUGUGGAGUUCAGGAUCAAGAGAAUGGAGAUUACCUAUCAAGGGAAAAGCUUUAGGCCCGGGUGGCAAUGGCGGCACUCCCUUGUUUGAGUUACUGAUGAGAAAUGAAACAAACCAUAGUACAGCUAAAAUACCAAGAAAAUAGGUGAAAAAUACACCAUUUUUCUCCAUAUUGGAUUCAUGCAGGGGCAUUGCGAAAGAAUCAAACAGAGGUUUGAAGAAUUUGAGUGACAUUAUUUGAACCUAAGAGGGUAAUGGAAAAUGCCAGAAGCAAUGUGGUGUGAAGCUUUUGCACCACUUAAGUUUUCGAGCAACAUAGGAUAAGACAAAAGCAGCUGAAUGCAAAUGCAACCUUGUCUACUCAAAAUAAUGCAAUAGUCACCAUAAAUGGUUUGAACUUUGAACUGUCAUAAAGGGAAGGUUGUUUGUUCCCCAUAUUUGAACACCUUAGAAGUUAGAAAGGACCAACCAAUAUUACAUCAUAAGAAAGACAAUUACCUGAAGAACAAAUAUAUGUUGGGUAAGACCAAAAGUGACUCUUGAAAGGCUACAGAAUAACAAUAUGAAUAUGAACAUACCUCCCCAACACAACUGUUGGUUCCAAUUUGUUUUUCCAGAGUCAUUGUAGACAAAAUAAACUAACGGAAUAAUUAUAUAUAACCUCCCCUCAAAUUUGGCUACAUCACAGUUACUUUUGUUGUUUUGUGAUAUUACUAGUUUAGGUGUACGUGUAGCUCACUUUAUUGAGUUCAAACGUUAGAAUAUUUGUUUAAAAAAUAAAGAUGAAUACAAUAAUUAAAUUCAACAUCUUUUGGAGAAUCUAUUUAAUUAAACUUUACUUUUACCAAAAAAAAAAUCUCAAAGCUGAUCGACAUUUAUCUACCACCUGUAAACUGCAACAAAACAAUAUGAUGAUAGAGUCAUCAAAACAAUAUAAUUAAAUCUAACCUUCGCACAAAAAUUUCUUCAAAGUCGUCUGACACUCAUCUAUAAUCUGUAAACUAUAACAAAAUAAUACCAUAAUAGAGAUAUCAAAUAAUACAACUAAACUUUACCUUUACACAAAAAAAAAUCUCAAAAUAGGGAUAUAAAAACAAUACAAUUAAACAUAACCUUUACUUAAAAAAAUUUCUCAAAGUCGACCGACAUUCAUCCACAAUAGAGAUAUCAAAUAAUACAACUAAACUUUAUCUUUACACCAAAAAAAAAUCUCAAAAUAGGGAUAUAAAAACAAUACAAUUAAACAUAACCUUUACUUAAAAAAAUUCUUCAAAGCCGACCGACAUUCAUCUACUACCUGUAAAUUCAUCUACGGCCUAUAAACUACAACAAAAUAAUACAAUAGUGAUCACAAAGCUUAAUUUUGUAGAAAUAAUUCUUGUCCGAGAAAAAAUUUUGACACUAAAGAAUAACUUAAAUGAAAACAAAGAAGAUAUAUAUAUAUAUAUAUAUAUAUACACGUUGAAUUCUAUUAUGUUGAUAAAAAUAAUCUAGUAAAAAAAAUUACAACAACUAAUGCCUUGUUAAAAUAGGUAAGAAAAAUUAAUUUACCUAAAUUAAAGAAUAUUACAUGAGUUUAUACCUAAACUAAUUUUAUUCGUAACAAAUCCUACGUUUAAAAGGACUCAUAAAUUAAAUUAGUUACCCUAAUAAAAUUAAAUAAUAAUUUAAAAAAAUAGUGAAGGGUAAAAAGUUUAAAUCACUUUUAUAAGGGUUUUCACAUGUUUUAUAUAUUAUAGAUAUAGAUUAUAGACAUAGAUAUAGAUUAUAAAUAUAAAUUAUAGAUUAUAGAUAUAAAUAAUAGAUUAAUGAAAUGGCCUUCAGUAUAUUUAGGAUUGAUUUUUAAUAUCGUAGUUAAAAAAAAAAUUAAUAUGGUUGGUCUUUAUUAUUAUUCCACAUAUUAUUUAUUAGUAUUAAAAUAAUAUGAGUUCCAAAUAAACUAAACUUUACUUAUAGGAAUUUUAGUCUUUUUUUCCUUUUCUUUUCUAGACACUAACGUUCCAUUUUUAAUUUGGUUCAAUUUUGUAUUAAACUUUACUAAUCUGAAUUUUAGCUUUCUUUUUCCUUUCUAAUUUUGUACGUUAAAUUGGGUUUUAAAUUUGGUUCUAUUUUGUCCUUUCUUUUUUUUAUUUCAAUUCAAGUAAUGAAAUAGAAAGUCCUAUUUUAAGAGUAUUUUUCUAUCCUAUUUUAGCAAAAAUAUUAAUUGAUUUUUCUUCCAUAUAUUUUAGGAGUCCCAUAUAUUUUAAGAGUCUAGUUAAUAUAAUAAAAAUAGUUAAAUAAUAAAUUAGAAAAAUAGUGAAAAGACAAUUUUAUCUAAAGGAGUCUUUUAAUUUAGGACAAAAAAUUCAAAUCACUUUUUUAGAGCCUUCACACUUUUAAUAUAUUAUAGAUUAUAGAUAUAGAUGUUUUCCUUUUUAUUUUAAUUUUCUUUUUACCGAUUGUUUUGACCUAAUUAUUAUUAAUACAAAAAUAAAUGAUUUAACUAAUUGUUUAUUUUAUUUUGUAAACACGCUUUCUUCAAGCAAAUAUUGACAAGAGAACAAAGAAAACACCCUUUUCAUAUUUAUUCUUCAUGUGUAUAAACUGUAUAGAAAACUUUGAAUCAAUUUCAAAGGGGAUUCCAUUUUCAUGGAACACAUUUCCAUAGUUCAUCAUGUAAAACCAAAUCGUCAUGCAGAACGCAGCUCUCGACAGAUACAUUUUUAUCUUACUCAUACAGUGUUGGAUUGGAUAAUGUUGGAGUAGGUAUAGCCACCAGAGGCAUUUUCUUCUUCAGAACAAUCCCAAACUUCUCUGUAAGGUCUAAUGCCUCUCCUUCAGGCAACUUCCAGUCGAAAGAAUGAACAAGUGAAGCCAGUGAAUACAUAAACAUCCUCUCUGCCAUGGCUAUUCCCGCACAGAUUCUUCUGCCAGAACCAAAUGGAAAGUAGUUGAAAUCAUUUCCACUAUAGUCCCAUUU